rnacentral:lncRNA from 1 species
GCUCUUCCUAAUGCCAAGGAGUAUUUUACUUUUUAGCAAAAACCUUCUCUUAAAUGUGGAGAACACUCAGGGGGAGGUGGAAGAGAGAAAGCAGUGAACAGAUUCAUCUUCCCUUCUAUAUCUGAAAGGAUAAGCAGGCUGUGCUUUCCAGAAAUGCGUGACCUAUCCAAUCCUUCCUCUCAUGGAAACACCAACUCAUCCAUGCCCUCUGUGCUGAAACUUCGUCUCAGCCUGCUGGAAUCACCUGCACCCCAUGGGAACUGUAGCCAUAUCUUCAGUCCUGUGAGCCCCCGUCAUGGCCUGUCACAGGAGUAAAUGAGGAGUAAGGCCCAGAAUACUCAGUACCUCUCAAUGACCCUCAGACGCUGUAGGAAGAGGAUUGGUUCACCUUUUAACCCAGAAUUUCUCACAUUGAAUGGACAGGAUGCAUUCCAAGAGGCCAGAGUAUGUGCAUCUCAGCUCCUGAUGGUUUCCACCACCACCAUUACUUUCUCUAUGUCAAGAUACCUGGGAAGCCGGAGACAGGCAGCCCACGCACUGCAGUGAUGAAAGGACUCUCCAACGAGGCAGACAGGAACCCUGCAGUUGGGAAU